UUUCGCGUGUUGCCGUGAGCAGCCUCACGAGUGCGAGCACUGCACCGGAAGCGGAUUCAGCCUCCGUGUUCUCGAACGCGCUUGUAAAUACGUUUGUGUUUGUGCUCACACCAGAUGUACACUUGUUCCGUGCGUGUUUUUCGUGUUGUGUGUCCCAGGAACAGUACUUCGGUGCGUGCGUGUCGGUGCGUGUGCCUACGUGUGUGUGUUUGUGUGUGAGCGUGUGUGUGCGUGUGUGUAAUUGUGUUGUGUGAAUUCAUGGUGCGUGUGGUCCCAAGCGCUCCACGAGCGGGGUGGCUAAAGUAGGUAUGUCUCAACUUGUGGGCGCCAGAAGGAGAAAUAAAAAAGAAAAAAAAGAAAUAAAGAAACCGUCUGGCCUGGGGGUGAGAAUGAAUGGAUGCGAAACGCGCCUGAUAGUUGUUCCAUUCGAAGGGCCCAAACCGCCCAGCUAGUCCGUUUUCUUUCCCGAAGCCCGUGGCCCUUCCGAACCAGCACCCGCGUCUAUCAAACGAACCGCCAAAGGAACCAACGAACCUCGUCCCUUACAUCGUGCAAGCGCAAAGCGAAUAGUGCGCUGUUCGAACGCUAGGAUAUUCUCGCAAGAUUAUCCGAGCGCUGCACUCGACGAUAAUUAGGAACCAGACGUCAAGAGGGACUAAGGCAAACAACAAGAAGCGGACGGGCAACAGAGCAGUCCCGUUUCACGAGUAUUCCUGC